GUGGGGGAUAUUGCACAAUGGGGGGAACCCUGAUGCAGCGACGCCGCGUGGGUGAAGAAGCGCCUCGGCGCGUAAAGCCCUGUCAGCAGGGAAGAAAAUGACGGUACCUGAAGAAGAAGCCCCGGCUAACUACGUGCCAGCAGCCGCGGUAAUACGUAGGGGGCAAGCGUUAUCCGGAUUUACUGGGUGUAAAGGGGGCGCAGACGGCGAUGCAAGCCAGGAGUGAAAGCCCGGGGCCCAACCCCGGGACUGCUCUUGGAACUGCGUGGCUGGAGUGCAGGAGGGGCAGGCGGAAUUCCUGGUGUAGCGGUGAAAUGCGUAGAUAUCAGGAGGAACACCGGUGGCGAAGGCGGCCUGCUGGACUGCAACUGACGUUGAGGCCCGAAAGCGUGGGGAGCAAACAGGAUUAGAAACCCUGGUAGUCC
rnacentral:rRNA from 1 species